CCCUUAGAUGUCCUGGGCCGCACGCGCGCUACACUGAUGCAUUCAACGAGUUUUACCUUGGCCGAGAGGCCUGGGCAAUCUUUUAAACCUGCAUCGUGAUAGGGAUAGAUUAUUGCAAUUAUUAAUCUUGAACGAGGAAUUCCUAGUAAACGCAAAUCAUCAAUUUGCAUUGAUUACGUCCCUGCCCUUUGUACACACCGCCCGUCGCACCUACCGAUUGAAUGGUCCGGUGAAGCCUCGGGAUUGUGGCCAGUUCACUUUAUUGGGAGUUGGCUGUGAGAACUUGUCUAAACCUUAUCAUUUAGAGGAAGGUGAANUCGUAACA
rnacentral:rRNA from 1 species